AAACUUUGGCGUUGCCAUGGUGACCGCUCUAGCACAGACGCGAUACCUCAGUGAAUUGAUAAAAAAAAAGUUUUACUUGACUGUUAUUAUAAACGUUAGUCGGCUUUGUACUGGCGGUUAAGGAUUUAUAUCUAACAACUGGCUGGCGGUUGGUUAUUAUUGUCAUGAGCUCGUUAAGAUUCGGAGCGGGAAUACGUUCAGUGUGAGACCUCCUGUCGACUUUGUGCUCUAUGGUGCUCUCAGGUGUUCGGGGCGCAAAAGGGGAAUCAGCGCCACCUGAUGGCUGUAACGUCAUACUACAAACAAACUGAUGGAUGCAGGGCGCCUCUUGUGUCCCACCUGGACGAUCUAUGCAGAGCUUCGUAUCUUGCUACCCUUUUACAUUCAGCUUGGCACAGUGCAGGACUACUCGCACGACGACGACGGAUGACGACAGACUGUGCAAAAUUAAAAAAAACCGAAGCAACACAUUUGAGGUGCGCGCGGUUUCUCUCGCCGAGGCUGCGCUCAAGACUGCGUUUGGUUUUCGGUGGGUAAGAAUAUAAUCUUGCCUUUUGUAAAUUAAAUUUGUUGUUUGUCUUUUUAUUAUACCCAGUAAGAGAAAACGAGAUAAGUCAUGAUGAGAAUUGGGGAGUGAGGGGAGUGAGGGAGUGGGUGGAGGUGUGAGGGGUUGGAGCUGUACAGGCCAGGAAUAUUUAUAUAUAUAUAUUUAUAA